rnacentral:rRNA from 1 species
CAGCAGCCGCGGUAAUACAGAGGGUGCGAGCGUUAAUCGGAUUUACUGGGCGUAAAGCGUGCGUAGGCGGCUCCUUAAGUCGGAUGUGAAAUCCCUGAGCUUAACUUAGGAAUUGCAUUCGAUACUGGGAAGCUAGAGUAUGGGAGAGGAUGGUAGAAUUCCAGGUGUAGCGGUGAAAUGCGUAGAGAUCUGGAGGAAUACCGAUGGCGAAGGCAGCCAUCUGGCCUAAUACUGACGCUGAGGUACGAAAGCAUGGGGAGCAAACAGGAUUAGAUACCCGAGUAGUCCCUGUCUCUUAUAC